GCGUUGAGUAUUUGGUCGUAGACCCGAAACCAGGUGAUCUACCCUUGGUCAGGUUGAAGUUCAGGUAACACUGAAUGGAGGACCGAACCGACUUACGUUGAAAAGUGAGCGGAUGAACUGAGGGUAGCGGAGAAAUUCCAAUCGAACUUGGAGAUAGCUGGUUCUCUCCGAAAUAGCUUUAGGGCUAGCCUCAAGUGAUGAUUAUUGGAGGUAGAGCACUGUUUGGACGAGGGGCCUCUCUCGGGUUACCGAAUUCAGACAAACUCCGAAUGCCAAUUAAUUUAACUUGGGAGUCAGAACAUGGGUGAUAAGGUCCGUGUUCGAAAGGGAAACAGCCCAGACCACCAGCUAAGGUCCCCAAAUAUAUGUUAAGUGGAAAAGGAUGUGGCGUUGCCCAGACAACUAGGAUGUUGGCUUAGAAGCAGCCAUCAUUUAAAGAGUGCGUAAUAGCUCACUAGUCGAGUGACACUGCGCCGAAAAUGUACCGGGGCUAAACAUAUUACCGAAGCUGUGGAUUGUCCUUCGGACAAUGGUAGGAGAGCGUUCUAAGGGCGUUGAAGCAUGAUCGCAAGGACAUGUGGAGCGUUUAGAAGUGAGAAUGCCGGUGUGAGUAGCGAAAGACGGGUGAGAAUCCCGUCCACCGAUUGACUAAGGUUUCCAGAGGAAGGCUCGUCCGCUCUGGGUUAGUCGGGUCCUAAGCUGAGGCCGACAGGCGUAGGCGAUGGAUAACAGGUUGAUAUUCCUGUACCACUUAGUAUCGUUUUAAUCGAUGGGGGGACGCAGUAGGAUAGGCGAAGCGUGCUGUUGGAGUGCACGUCUAAGCAGUAAGGCUGAGUGUUAGGCAAAUCCGGCACUCAUCAGGCUAAGCUGUGAUGGGGAGAGGAAAUUGUUUCCUCGAGUCGUUGAUUUCACACUGCCGAGAAAAGCCUCUAGAUAGAUAACAGGUGCCCGUACCGCAAACCGACACAGGUAGUCAAGAUGAGAAUUCUAAGGUGAGCGAGCGAACUCUCGUUAAGGAACUCGGCAAAAUGACCCCGUAACUUCGGGAGAAGGGGUGCUCUUUAGGGUUUACGCCCAGAAGAGCCGCAGUGAAUAGGCCCAAGCGACUGUUUAUCAAAAACACAGGUCUCUGCUAAACCGUAAGGUGAUGUAUAGGGGCUGACGCCUGCCCGGUGCUGGAAGGUUAAGAGGAGUGGUUAGCUUCUGCGAAGCCACGAAUCGAAGCCCCAGUAAACGGCGGCCGUAACUAUAACGGUCCUAAGGUAGCGAAAUUCCUUGUCGGGUAAGUUCCGACCCGCACGAAAGGCGUAACGAUUUGGGCACUGUCUCAACGAGAGACUCGGUGAAAUCAUAGUACCUGUGAAGAUGCAGGUUACCCGCGACAGGACGGAAAGACCCCGUGGAGCUUUACUGUAGCCUGAUAUUGAAAUUCGGCACAGCUUGUACAGGAUAGGUAGGAGCCAUUGAAACGUGAGCGCUAGCUUAUGUGGAGGCGUUGGUGGGAUACUACCCUAGCUGUGUUGGCUUUCUAACCCGCACCACUUAUCGUGGUGGGAGACAGUGUCAGGUGGGCAGUUUGACUGGGGCGGUCGCCUCCUAAAAGGUAACGGAGGCGCUCAAAGGUUCCCUCAGAAUGGUUGGAAAUCAUUCACAGAGUGUAAAGGCAUAAGGGAGCUUGACUGCGAGACUUACAAGUCGAGCAGGGUCGAAAGACGGACUUAGUGAUCCGGUGGUUCCAUAUGGAAGGGCCAUCGCUCAACGGAUAAAAGCUACCCCGGGGAUAACAGGCUUAUCUCCCCCAAGAGUUCACAUCGACGGGGAGGUUUGGCACCUCGAUGUCGGCUCAUCGCAUCCUGGGGCUGUAGUCGGUCCCAAGGGUUGGGCUGUUCGCCCAUUAAAGCGGUACGCGAGCUGGGUUCAGAACGUCGUGAGACAGUUCGGUCCCUAUCCGUCGUGGGCGUAGGAAAUUUGAGAGGAGCUGUCCUUAGUACGAGAGGACCGGGAUGGACAUACCUCUGGUGUACCAGUUGUCGUGCCAACGGCAUAGCUGGGUAGCUAUGUAUGGACGGGAUAAGUGCUGAAAGCAUCUAAGCAUGAAGCCCUCCUCAAGAUGAGAUUUCCCAACUUCGGUUAUAAGAUCCCUCGAAGAUGACGAGGUUAAUAGGUUCGAGGUGGAAGCGUGGUGACACGUGGAGCUGACGAAUACUAAUCGAUCGAAGACUUAAUCAAA
rnacentral:rRNA from 1 species